AUGGCGUUGCGAGCUAUGCGGGGAAUCGUGAACCGGGCCGCGCCCGAGCUGCCUGUGCCCACCGGUGGACCGAUGGCCGGAGCUCGGGAGCAGGCGCUGGCAGUGAGCCGAAACUACCUCUCCCAACCUCAUCUCACCUACAAGACUGUCUCAGGAGUGACCGGCCCACUAGUAAUCUUAGAUUACGUGAAGUUUCCCAGAUAUGCUGAGAUUGUCCACUUGACCUUACCGGAUGGCACAAAAAGAAGUGGGCAAGUUCUAAAAGUUAGUGGCUCCAAAGCAGUGGUUCAGGUAUUUGAAGGGACAUCAGGUAUAGAUGGCAAGAAAACAUCCUGUGAGUUUACUGGGGAUAUUCUCCAGACACCAGUGUCAGAGGAUAUGCUUGGUCGGGUAUUCAAUGGAUCAGGAAAACCCAUUGACCGAGGUCCUGUGGUGCUGGCUGAAGACUUCCUUGACAUCAUGGGUCAGCCAAUCAACCCUCAGUGUCGGAUCUACCCAGAGGAGAUGAUUCAGACGGGCAUUUCUGCCAUUGAUGGCAUGAAUAGUAUUGCUAGGGGACAGAAAAUUCCCAUUUUUUUCUGCUGCUGGAUUGCCGCGCAAUGAGAUUGCUGCUCAGAUCUGUCGCCAGGCUGGUUUGGUAAAGAAAUCCAAAGAUGUAGUGGACUACAGUGAAGAAAAUUUUGCCAUUGUGUUCGCUGCUAUGGGGGUAAACAAGGAAACAGCCCGGUUCUUCAAAUCUGACUUUGAAGAAAAUGGCUCAAUAGACAAUGUCUGCCUCUUUUUGAACUUAGCUAACGACCCAACCAUCGAGAGAAUCAUCACUCCCCGCCUGGCUCUGACCACCGCUGAGUUUCUGGCUGACCAGUGUGAGAAGCAUGUCCUGGUCAUUCUGACAGAUAGGAGCUCUUACGCUGAACCGCUUCGAGAGGUUUCAGCAGCCACGGAAGAGGUUCCUGAUCGGCGAGGUUUCCCAGGCUACAGGUACACCGACUUAGCCACGAUCUAUGAACAUGCUGGGAGAGUGGAAGGUAGAAAUGGCUCCAUUACUCAAAUCCCUAUUCUCACCAUGCCCAAUGAUGAUAUCACUCAUCCCAUCCCUGACUUGACUGGGUAUAUUACUGAGGGGCAGAUCUAUGUGGACAGGCAGCUGUACAACAGACAGAUUUACCCACCUAUCAUGUGCUGCCCUCGUUUUCUCGGUUGAUGAAAUCGGCUAUUGGAGAAGGGAUGACCAGAAAGGACCAUGCUGGCGUCUCUAACCAGCUGUAUGCAUGCUACGCUAUUGGCAAGGAUGUGCAAGCCACGAAAGCUGCGGUGGGAGAAGAAGCGCUGACCUCAGAUGACCUUCUUUACUUGGAAUUUCUGCAGAAAUUUGACAAAAACUUCAUUUCUCAGGGUCCCCAUGAAAACCGCACCGUCUAUGAGACUUUGGACAUUGGCUGGCAGUUGCUUUGAAUCUUCCCCAAAGAAAUGCUGAGGAGAAUCCCUCAGAGCACCCUGAGCGAAUUUUACCCUCGAGAUUCUGCAAAGCACUAGCUACUGCUGCUCGUGUGGCCUCAUUGGCGUGACCCUCUUGUGAAGUACUGGUUCUGUUUCCUGAUUCCUUUUGCACUCCUCUGCCCCCACCUUGUGCGGGAAUUUACUUACCUGUUACUCU